rnacentral:rRNA from 1 species
UACGUAGGUGGCAAGCGUUGUCCGGAAUUAUUGGGCGUAAAGCGCGCGCAGGUGGUUUCUUAAGUCUGAUGUGAAAGCCCACGGCUCAACCGUGGAGGGUCAUUGGAAACUGGGGAACUUGAGUGCAGGAGAGAAGAGUGGAAUUCCACGUGUAGCGGUGAAAUGCGUAGAGAUGUGGAGGAACACCAGUGGCGAAGGCGGCGUUCUGGACUGCAACUGACACUGAGGAACGAAAGCCAGGGGAGCAAACGGG